UUCGGAGACAGGGAGACAGGUGGUGCAUGGUUGUCGUCAGCUCGUGUCGUGAGAUGUUGGGUUAAGUCCCGCAACGAGCGCAACCCCUACGUUUAGUUGCUAACGCGUGAAGGCGAGCACUCUAGACGAACUGCCGUUGACAAAACGGAGGAAGGUGGGAUGACGUCAAAUCAUCAUGCCCCUUAUGUUCUGGGCUACACACGUGCUACAAUGGCCGGUACAGACGGACGCAAAGCCGCGAGGCGGAGCAAAUCCGAAAAAGCCGGUCUCAGUUCGGAUUGCAGGCUGCAAUUCGCCUGCAUGAAGUCGGAAUCGCUAGUAAUCGCAGGUCAGCAUACUGCGGUGAAUACGUUCCCGGGCCUU
rnacentral:rRNA from 1 species